UGCUGUUCAGUCGUCUGAGCCUGUUUAAUGUGUUAAAUCGACCUGUCUUCAGGGCCCAUUCUUGCAUAUCCUUCCCCCUUGCGGCAUCCACUACAUUUAUGUCUGCCCCUAGCAAAAGAGAGGCAUACAGGAGAUGUCAACAACAUUGCUUCAGAAAAAAAGAAUGUAUAUACAGUGGAGACCAAAUGCUUGACACCCUAUUGACAGUCUAGAACUAAAAUAUCAUAUUAAGAAUAAAAAUUGUAUAAUGUAAAAUUAAUAAAAAUUCAAUGUACAGUUUUACAUCGGUGCACAUAUGAUGCUCUUUGAAGCUCUGAAACAGUUUUGCACAAAUAGUCUAUGCUCAAGUGUGUGUUCUCCUUUCAGCAUAAAAGGUCACAUUCAAAAUACCUAAAAUGGUUUGGCAGGUAAUAGAAUGUAUUCAUUAUUUUACAAACGUAAAAAUGUAAACCAUUUUCAGUGGUAGUCAAUGGACCUCGCUGUAUGUGUAGGACAUGUGUUGGUGGCCUAGAAAUAUGUAAACAAUUAUUAUUGCCCCACCUAGUGUCCGCUUGAGGUAUAGUUUACAGUCAAUGUCGAGUUUAAUGGAUUUUCCAUUUUUAUAUUGCAUACUGCAUAGUGAUUACGUCGUAACUAUAACCAAACAAGUUUCGUGUAACUUUUACAGGGCAAAACAUUUGCAUGGGUUCUAAAUAAGAAGCUAUUGAAGGUGUAAAAAGUGUAACUGAAUUGUCAGAAGUGCACGUUUACACCUAAGAUUUCACCUCUAAUCCAUUACUCGCCGUAAACGCUAAUAGAUUAUCCGAGGAUCAAACAGAAAAUGACCUCAGGGUCGUAUUUUAAACCGGCUUGCACUUCCGUCACGUCACAACAUGACGGUGCUUAAAAUGUAAUUUUGUUGUCUGCUUCAUACUACAUACAACUUACAAAAGUGUGGAAAAUCAAAUUUUAACAAAUGUUGACACUGACAUGAAUUUAUCCACCACAUUUCAACGUUAUACUAAAAACAUGCGCGUCCAAAAACGACAGUAACGCUUUUAUCAGCUCUGAAGCCAUACGUGUUUACAAACCUCAAAACAACGCAAAUAAUGAGCUAGAGCUAGCGAUGCUGGUUUCGCCUUCACGCACGCUUUAGGGAAGGGGAGGGGGGCGUGACCAGCUCGAAAUGCAACAGCAGUGUGUAGAUUUUGCCAUUUAAAGAGCUUGUUUAUCUAUGCAGCAUAAAUAUCUACUUAGAUUAUAUAUUACAACUAGUGUAGGAACUGACAAAUGUAAAUUAUAUUACUGAAUUUUCAUUUUUAUUUUGCACCUAAUGUUGCACAUAAGUUAUUUAAAAUGUAUAUUUAAAUACAUAAAUGCAUUGUUAUUUUACAUAUUGCAUUGCCAUAUUGCAUUCUAAAUUGAAUAUUGCUACCAAAAUGCUUCCAUUUUUGCACGUUCGUGGUUGCCGUGCAUCAUGGAAUUGAAUGUUUCAUUCGGUGACUAUGCUGCGUGCAGCUCUCACUAAAUCCUUGUUGUUUCGAGUCUGACGUCAUCAGAUCCGUGGGCGUGGCUUGUUGGUUUUGACUAAAUCCUUGGUGUUUCAAGUCUUACGAAACCUUUACCCUAACACACACCAUAACCCUAACCUUACUCUAACCGUCUAAACUACAUUUGAUUGUUAAAAUCGCCUAGAAAACACUGUUGCGCACUGUUGCGUGAUGACUUCAGACUCACACCUAAACCCGAAAAUAAUUUAUGGAACGGCGUUUUUUUAUGUUAAUAGAUGGAAUGUUUUAAUUCGACUAAUUUAUUAGUAACAUGAAUGUUUUAAUGUUACAAAAUAUUUUUAAUGUCUAACUAAAUCCAGACUGUACUUCCGGGUUUGUGGUGGAAAAUAUGUCAAAUCCGAGGUGUACCUUCACUAGUGCAUUUUUUAUUUAUAUAUGUCGUCUCAAGAGAAAGUUUACCCGUAUAACGUUACGGUGGUGGAAAACAGCGACUGGAUUAAAUAUGACAAUAACAUACCAGCCAUGACUAGUGAGGCCACACAGUCAUCGCUGCCCUGCAUGGCCGCUUUGAGGAGUGCAGUGAAGCCUCGGUUGUCCCUGACCUCCAUGUCCACUCCAGAGAAGUAGUUAAGGAUGUAGAACUCUGUGGAGCGCUGCAGCAUUGUUCUUGGCACAGGCUUGGUACAAGGUGAGGCCUCCGUUGGCCUCUUCCCGCUCAUAGUCAGGGAGCACCGAGUCAUC